rnacentral:lncRNA from 1 species
AAAAAAAAAAAAAUGGAAGAAAGUUCUUCCUUAUAGUAAAAAUGAUACCUGCAGAAAGGACAGAAUCAGCGCGUCCAUUUGGUGGCCAGAACAGAAGGGUCUGCUGAGCGAUGAAAUUCGAAUGCCAGGGAUGGGCCAGCCUUCCUGUCUGGAAUCUGACCAGGAGGAAGCUCAGACACCAGGCCAGGGAGGCUGUGAGGGCACCGCCUGGAUCAUCCUUGCCAGGUGUCAAGCUCAAGGAAGACGAAAGCUGGUGACUAAGUGUUAGGUGAUGUGGGACUCGGGAUUGCAUCUUGAUGAGAACAUUGUUUCUCUUUGUGAUAAAGGAUUUUAGUGGCAUAAUUGGCAAAAAUUUCAAAUGAGGUCUACAGAUUAGAUAACAUUAUUGUACCAUUAUCGACUUUGUGGUUAUGUGAGAGAACAUCUUUGCAGCCAGUGGGAUGGUGUGCACCUGUCAUCCCAAGCGCUCAGGAGACUGAGGCAGGAGGAUCACCAUGAGUUUGAGCCCAACCUGCACUACCCAGUGAUUUCAAGUCCAGCCUGAACUACAUAGUGAGACCCUGUCUCAGAAAGCCAAGAAAAAUAAAGAAUAUCUUUGGUUCUUUGGGAAAUAUUGAACUAUUAGGUUAAAAAAACACAUACACUCUACUCUCAAGCUGUGUGUGUGCAAGUGUGUGUAUCACACGCCCAGAAAAGGGGAAAUCUGGAGGAGAGUAUACAGGAAUCCUUUGUAUUAUUUGUGCAACUUUUUGUGAAUCUGAAUUUACUAUAAAAAUUUUAAAAGGUCAGGCUGAGGAUGUAGCUCAGUGGUACAGUAUUUGCCUAACAAAUCCAAGGUCCUGGGUUCAAAUCCCCAGCACCACAAAAAAAGAAAAGCCCCUGUCCCUCCCUCCCUGCAGUACUCUGUCCGCUCCUCCACAGCACAGCAGGGUCUGUGGCCUACCAGUGUUUGUUGACGCCCCCACCUCCUAGGAAGGAAGUUCGGCUGCCUGAGUCUCCCUUGUAUACCCUGGAAAGCUGCCUAGGACAUAGUAGGCGCUCAAUAAAUAUUUGCCGAAUGGGUGAAUGUUUGGCUUUUUCCCUACCCAUGACCUCUUUCCCCACCUCCAAGUACUGGGGUUGGAAACCAGGGUGUGCUAAGCUACAUCCCAGCCCUUUUCAAAAUUUUACUUUGAAAAAAAUUAUUUUGAGAUAGGUUCUCACGCACUUGCCCAGUCCAGCCUCAAACUUGCAAUCCUCUUGCCUCAGCCUCCUGAGGAGCUGGCAUUACAGGAGUGUGCCACCUCACCAGCCCACACAUACCGGACACUGAGUGGGCAGCUGCCGAACCAGACACUUCGUGUGCACUCUUCUAAGCGCCUGGCACUGAGCUCCCGAGAACUUCAGCAACCCGCCUCCGAGCCACCGGGCUUGCUGUGCUGCCCCGCACCCCGGCUGGUGCCUGAAUGUCUCCAGCCCUCCGCGCCCCGGUCCCUGUGUCCCCAGGUGCAUGCCACAGACUUGCCAGCACAGAACAUGUUGUCAGUGAUGCGGAUCCGAGUGGACGACCUGCAGGUGGGCGGUCCACGAUGGGCAGGUUCACCAGCUGCAGCACGCUGGGCUGCACCUCGCCAGCGCUGCUCUUCCACACCUCGCGCAGGUUGCCCCAGCCCGCCACCCGGCCUUUGUAGCCAGCCUGGAGCAGACUGCGGGGAGGCCGGGACAGAGACAGUGAGCGCCAGCGCCAGCGCCGGCCUGGCGCCCCACCUGCCUGUCCAGGCGAAGGACCCACCUGACCACCGUCUGUUUGUCGGGCAGGCACACCGGGUGGAUGUAGUCGCUGAAGGGCACGGGGCGCUUGAGCUUGAGCAGGGCGAUGUCGCGGUCCAGGUUCUCCCGCCAGUUGUACCGGGGGUGGAUGAAGAUCUUCUCCAGCAUGGAGAUCUUCUCCAUGUUGCGCCGUACCUGCGGAGACCAGAGGCUGCGGGCGGGAAGGGGCUGGGACGCAGGGCCAUGGGGAGGCACCUCCCCUGGCAGCCGCUGGGCAGCUUCUCCCAUCCCAAAGCCACACAGGGCUUUGGGGCCAGCCAGGCAGGGAUAAGGACAGGCACAGAGGUUGCUCAUCCUGGAUGAACUCACCACUGUUGCUUUUUUUUUGAGACAGGGUCUCGCGCUCUAGUUCAGGUUGGCCCUGCGCUCACUAUGUAGCCCAGGCUGGCCUCGAACUCUCGGUGAUCCUCCUGCCUCAGCCUCCCCAGUGCUGGGACUACAGGCACGCACCACCAUGGCCGGCGUAGUCACUAUGUGAAGCGACAACCCCCGGGAGCAGGCCUGAUGUCUGGAGGAGGCUGGGGACAGAGCAGGCCAAGAGGACUUUUCCCUGGGGACAGCUGGACGGCCUCUCGUUGGCCGCGCCGCCGCCCGCACCUGCUUCGGGAGUGCUUGCCGAUGCGCAGCAGGAGGUCGUUCUCGGUGAAGUUCUUGUCCCAGGGCGGGUACAGGACGCAGUGCGCGGCCGUGAGCGCCCAGCGGUCGCUGAUGAGGCUGGCCCCGCACAGCAGCUCCUGGGGAGUCUUCCGGAAGAGCAUCACCUGCCUGGGCAGCGGAGCAGCGGGCGGCUAAGGACUGGCCCACAGCCGGGCGUGCUGGUCCCGGCUGGAAUCCUAGCCCUCAGGAGGCUGAGGCAGGAAGCCCCCAGCAUCCCCGCAGGGCCCGAGCUGGGCCCCGGCACGCACGCACCACGGGGCAACGCCCGUCUCGCGCCCCAGCCCUCCACGAUGCGCCCGUCGAUGUAGGAGUCCAGGAGCUGCGCUUCCGUCUUGUCCUUCACCCGCUUCUUCUCGAACAGCGGCCGCAGCCCACAGUCUGCAGAGCAAGCAGGUGAGGGCCGCCCGCCGCCCACCCGCACCCCGCCGCCCGAGCCCUCACCGGCCUCCCCAGGCCGAAGGUCUGCUCUUCGAAGAAGGUCUGGAAGUCCUCUGUCGUCGUGCGGCCCCCGAUGGCCUCCCUCCACCGCCUCCCUCCACCGCCUCCUCUGCGGAGACCGGGCGCUGCUGGGGCCGGGUUGGGCACUGCUGGCCAGCACCCCAGACCCCCAGACCCUUCUGCCCUUAGAGGACACUGGGUACUGAGGUUAAGAGAGCACACAGGCUGGGCACGGUGGCGCACGCCUGUAAUCUCAACACUCAGGAGGCUGAGGCAGGAGAAUUGCCACGAGUUCAAGCCCAGCCUGGGGAAACUGUAGACUUAGUGAGACCCUGCCUUAAAAUAAAAACUAAAAUGGGGAUGUAGAUCAGUGUGAAGGUCCUGGGUUCAAUCUCCAGCACAGAAAAACUGCACGCUGUAUCCGGUGAUGAGGGCACCACUCGAGGAGGCCUCAGUUACCCAUCUCUAAAACGGGCACAGGGCCGCACGCCGCGUUUCUGUGGAGCUGUGAUGAAUGCAAGCACUGCCAUGCGGACAAGGGGCUGUGGCCCUGUCCCUGCAUCCCGGACCCCUGCAUCCCUGCCGCUCACCACAGUAGUUGAGGUCGCAGUACUGGAUGUGGCUGGACUCGCCGGCCACAAAGCACCAGGCGCCUUCCUCGUCCUUGUUGGGGUUGCGACAGAAGUUCUCCUCCAGUUUCACCUCCGGGCUGAAGUCCUUGUCCUGGCUCAGGGACCUGGCCUGCUCACUGGCCCAGGGCAGGCAGGGGGACCCCCCUUGAUGUCACCGCCAGGCGCCCCUGGUACUGCCGGCCACGCUGGGGUACGCAGUCCGCCAGUGAAGAGGACACGUCCGGCCUGGAGCCACCGCUGCGGGGUGUCAUCUCCACGGUGAAGCGGGCCUCGCCUGGGUGAGGACCAGGGCCCAGUGGGUGGGGCGGCCGGGAACCGCAGGGGAGGUAAGGCCCCUGUCUGCUGUGCGCCCUCGGGCAGUGAGCAACCUCUCUGAGCUUUUGGUUACCCAACUCUCAAUGCGCUUCAAGCCAAACACACAGCCUGUCGUUGAGCAUGUGAGAGGCCUGAGAGGAUAACCAGGCCCGGGCUCCCCGGGCCACCUCACUCUGCCCCUAGUGACUGCCUGGAGUGGGGUUUUCCCUUUGUUUGAGCUUUGGGGGUUGUUUGUUUGUUUUGGUGCCACACCCCCCAACUCUUAUUUACUCUGCAGCAGGCUCUGAGGCUGUAAACUACUCGGGCUGGGCUCAAACUUGUGAUCCUUCUGUCUCAGCCUCCCAGAGUGCUGGGAUGAGAGCUGUGUACCCCCAUGCCUGGCUCUGGAAGGUUGCUUUUGUUUUUGUUUUCCAUUUUUGUUUCAUUUUAAGAAUUCGAAGUGCUAUGUGGAGGGAUGCAGACACACCUCUAAUCCCAAUAUUCAGAAGGCUGAGGCCAGUCUGAGCAAUUUAGCAAGACUAUGUCUCAAGACAAAAGGGCUUGGAGGUUUAGCUGGCGUAGUAGAGCCCUUGCUUUGAACCCACAUUCAGUCCAGUGCUGGGAAGGAAAAACAACAACCACCACAAAGAGGGUCGUGUGCUUUUACAGAAGGCAGCAGGAGGUUGCUGGGGUCUGCGGAGGAUGCCCGUGUGGACAGGAAGUGCGCUUCGGCAGGCCUGCAUACACACCAUCCGUGUGCGUGUAGGAGGGGCCCCUAACUGCUUCAAGACCAUUCCCAGGGUGGAACAAGGGGUCCAUAGAGAACAAAGAAUACCAAUGGCUGUUUAACGGGUUGAACUACUGGUCCGAAUUCUUUCUGUUGUUUUGUUUGGAGACAGGGUCUUGCCAUAGUUCAGGCUUGCCUGGAACUCACAGCGACCCUCCUGCCUCAGCCUCCAGAGUGCUGGGUUUCCAGCCUCCGGGCUGUCAGGCCCAUUCACCCCAGCUCUGGCGGUGACCCCUGGGCCUGGGCCCGACCCCGGGCCCGCUCACCGCACACGGGCACGCUGCACUCCUCCCUGCGCACGGUGGGGUCCGUGGUGUAGCACCAGGGGCCCGUGGUGCUGCCGUCGGGAAUUCUGGCAGAAGUUCUCCAGCAGGUGCGCGCCGGGGUGGGUGGUGUGGUUCACCCUGGAAGGGGACACGGCUCAGCAGGGGCUGCGCCUCCGCUGCCCGCCAGUGCCCACGCCACCCCAGACUCACUCAGGCCUGUGCGGGUAGCGACUGCUCCAGAGCUGGCACUCGAUGCCCGACCGGGUGGCGUUCACGGUCCCACGGUAGUUCAUGCCCAGGCCCUUGGCGCAGUGACCUGCGGAGACCCGAGCCCGAGCCUGUCUCCUCCUCCUCGCCACGCUCCUCGAGGGCACCGCCCUCAGCCGCUUCACAGCGGUCAUCAGAAAGUCCGUCACUGGGUGCCACCUGCGUGCCGGGCACGGCCGGCACUAAGGCCAUCGUGGUGGCCCAGACGGCCCGUCAAGGGCUCCACACUGCACAGAGCCUGUUCGGUGGCUCCUCGGGGGUGGCAGAGUGCAAAGUGGCCCCGGGCUCCCUGUCCCUCUCUUAGCCCCUGGGGCCCAGGGCCUUGCCUGUGCCGCUUCCCCUGGGGGUGCCCCCUUCACCCUCUGCACCCCACAAGUCCUGGGACCCAUGGCUGAAGGCAGGCGCCCUCCGACCUCCGCCUCACAUGCAUGUCCGAGUCCCUGUUUCCUGCGGGACUGAGCUUCAAGCAAGGACCACACUGGAUUCGCCCCGAGUCCCCGCCCCUUGGCACGGGGCCUGGGACGCAGGAGGAACACCGCCGGCCACACCCCCAGCCAGCCCUGCCUCCCCUCAGAGGCUGCCUGCGUCCUUCCGCCCGUCUGUCUGCUCCUCACCAUCCAGACACUCCAUGAGGGUCUCCCGGGGCUUCCGCACGGACUCGCACGCUGGAAGAGAACGCGGACGCCGUGGGUGGGAGGGAAGGGUGCUGGGUGACAUCAGAAAGAGGGCGACAGACCCGGGGGGAUGGGGGUCGAGGGAGGGGAGGCGAGGAUGAUGGGGGGCCGGGCUCCCCGGAAGCGCCUGAGCCUCCCACUUCCUGCCGGCCAGGCCUCCCUCCUGGGCGCCCCCUCCCUCUCCCAUACUCACCUGUGUACUUGGCCCAGAAUACAUCCUGGAAAACAAAGGCUCGGAUGAGCCUGACAGGAUAGUGUUUUGGGUUUUUAAUUUUUGAGUCAGGGUCUCGCUGUGUAGCUCAGGCUGGCCUCGAACUCCCAGUGACUGCCCUGCCUCAGGCUCCCGAGUGCUGGGAUGACCAGCAUGUGUCACCGCCCGCUCAGGAUGGUGUUUUGUCUCUUUGCAGUGCCCCUCACCCCCUCGCUGGGGGCAUCUGGGGGUUUAGGGAGGAGCCUCCUACUUUUGCUUCCCAAGGAGAUGUGUGUGGAGGAGGGUCCCCCCACUGGCUGGCUCCCCUGCGCUGGGGGAGGCAAGAGAAGGGGGCUGGGGGCAAGUGAAGGCCAUGCCCAGGGCUGCAGCCUCACCAGGUGCCACCCUAAGGGUAGCACUGAAGUGGCACAAAGGCUUCCACCAGCACCAGGCGGCCCGAGGCCCAGCGCAGGCAGACACUGCAGCUGAGGGCCCCGAUGUCACAGAGCCUCAGCAGAUCUGGCACAGUGUGUGACCCCAGCCAGGUGUCGGGACCCCAAGGGAGGCUGAGGGGCCCCUGUCUUGCUGGCCCAGGGACCUGGGGCUCAGGGGAGAAGUUACAGAGAAGGAAACCAGGUGUGGUAGCACAUGACUGUAAUCCUGGCACUCAGGAGGCUGAGGCAGGAGGAUCCCAAGUUCCAGCCCAGCCUGGGCAACUCAGGGACUUAGCGAAGCCCUGUCUCAAAAAUAAAAACAAAACCUGAGGGCAGGGGCGUCGCUGUCCCAUGCUCACCGUGGCGCUGGACGACCCAGGGCCUCAAAGGCCUCCCCGUAGCUGCACUGCUCCUCCACGCACUCGCGCUCCAGGUUGCCCCUGCGCAGCUCCUCCAGGAAGCCGCUGUUGGCCCUGCGCGUCCGCUGCAGCAGCGACUUUGCGCGAUUCGGGGCCAGGAACACUGCAGGGAGUCGCAGCAGUCGGGCAGGGUGGCCGCCCAGAGCUGCAUGGGGUGCGUGGAGUGCGAAGCCCCCUCCCAGGUCUGGGGCAGGGGCAGCCAGGGCCCCCUCCAGCCCGCUCCCAGCCGUCCUCACCGUCCUGGCCAACUGCGAGGCUGAGCAGGGCCGCCAGGGCCAGGCAGCCCGGCCGCUGCAGGCCUCCGACGUGCACCAUGGCACAAGGGUGUCCUGCUGGGCUCCUGGGACGUUCUGAGCCUGCUGAGUUAAUGUUGAACCAACAUGAAGAAAUCAGCGGACAGGGACAGGUCAGCGGGUCAGGGCUGUGGGGACAAGCAUCCCCCCCACCAUCAGGAAGACAGGCCCUCCUGGGGCCCGGGAGGGACAGUCUCAGGG